rnacentral:rRNA from 1 species
UACGUAGGGUGCAAGCGUUGUCCGGAAUUAUUGGGCGUAAAGAGCUCGUAGGCGGUCUGUUGCGUCGGCUGUGAAAACCCGAGGCUCAACCUCGGGCCUGCAGCCGAUACGGGCAGACUAGAGUUCGGCAGGGGAGACUGGAAUUCCUGGUGUAGCGGUGAAAUGCGCAGAUAUCUGGAGGAACACCGGUGGCGAAGGCGGCAUCCUGGACCGAUACUGACGCUGAGGAGCGAAAGCCAGGGGAGCAAACGGG